rnacentral:snRNA from 1 species
UUGCUUCAGCAGCACAUAUACUAAAAUUGGAACAAUGUAGAGAAGAUUAGCAUGGCCCCUGCGCAAGGAUGACAUACAAAUUCAUGAAGCAUUCCAUAUUUUA